CCUUAUGUAGAAGGAACAGGCGAGUUACGAUUUGUUGAAAGGUUAAGCGGAAACAGCGGAGCCGUAGCAAAAGCGCGAGUGAAUAGGGCGCAUAAGUAACAGGGCGUAGACCCGAAACCAGGUGAUCUACCCAUGUCCAGGAUUAAGGUAAGGUAAUACUUACUGGAGGUCCGAACCCACGCACGUUGAAAAGUGCGGGGAUGAGGUGUGGGUAGCGGAGAAAUUCCAAUCGAACUUGGAGAUAGCUGGUUCUCUCCGAAAUAGCUUUAGGGCUAGCCUCGAGGUAAAGAGUCAUGGAGGUAGAGCACUGUUUGGACUAGGGGCCCUUCUCGGGUUACCGAAUUCAGAUAAACUCCGAAUGCCAUGUACUUAUACUCGGGAGUCAGACUGCGAGUGAUAAGAUCCGUAGUCGAAAGGGAAACAGCCCAGACCACCAGUUAAGGUCCCCAAAUAUAUGUUAAGUGGAAAAGGAUGUGGGGUUGCUUAGACAACCAGGAUGUUGGCUUAGAAGCAGCCACCAUUGAAAGAGUGCGUAAUAGCUCACUGGUCGAGUGACCCCGCGCCGAAAAUGUACCGGGGCUAAACAUAUUACCGAAACUGUGGAUGAACCUCUUUAGAGGUUCGUGGUAGGAGAGCGUUCUAAGGGCGGUGAAGUCAGACCGGAAGGACUGGUGGAGCGCUUAGAAGUGAGAAUGCCGGUAUGAGUAGCGAAAGAAGGGUGAGAAUCCCUUCCACCGAAUAUCUAAGGUUUCCUGAGGAAGGCUCGUCCGCUCAGGGUUAGUCGGGACCUAAGCCGAGGCCGAUAGGCGUAGGCGAUGGACAACAGGUAGAGAUUCCUGUACCAGUGCUAAUUGUUUAACCGAUGGGGUGACACAGAAGGAUAGGGAAUCGCACGAAUGGAAAUGUGCGUCCAAGCAGUGAGUGUGAGAAGUAGGCAAAUCCGCUUCUCGCGAAGCAUGAGCUGUGAUGGGGAAGGAAAUUAAGUACGGAAGUUCCUGAUUUCACGCUGUCAAGAAACGCCUCUAGGAAGAGUAGUACUGCCCGUACCGCAAACCGACACAGGUAGAUGAGGAGAGAAUCCUAAGGUGAGCGAGAGAACUCUCGUUAAGGAACUCGGCAAAAUGACCCCGUAACUUCGGGAGAAGGGGUGCUCUAUUAGGGUGCAAGCCCGAGAGAGCCGCAGUGAAUAGGCCCAGGCGACUGUUUAGCAA
rnacentral:rRNA from 1 species